CAGGCCUAACACAUGCAAGUCGAGCGGACUUAUCCUUCGGGAUAGGUUAGCGGCGGACGGGUGAGUAACACGUAGGCAACCUGCCUGUAAGAUCGGGAUAACUACCGGAAACGGUAGCUAAGACCGGAUAGCUGGUUUCUCCGCACGGGGGAAUCAUGAAACACGGGGCAACCUGUGGCUUACGGAUGGGCCUGCGGCGCAUUAGCUAGUUGGUGGGGUAACGGCCCACCAAGGCGACGAUGCGUAGCCGACCUGAGAGGGUGAUCGGCCACACUGGGACUGAGACACGGCCCAGACUCCUACGGGAGGCAGCAGUAGGGAAUCUUCCGCAAUGGGCGCAAGCCUGACGGAGCAACGCCGCGUGAGUGAUGAAGGUUUUCGGAUCGUAAAGCUCUGUUGCCAAGGAAGAACGCCUCGGAGAGUAACUGCUCUGAGGGUGACGGUACUUGAGAAGAAAGCCCCGGCUAACUACGUGCCAGCAGCCGCGGUAAUACGUAGGGGGCAAGCGUUGUCCGGAAUUAUUGGGCGUAAAGCGCGCGCAGGCGGUCUUUUAAGUUUGGUGUUUAAGCCCGGGGCUCAACCCCGGUUCGCACUGAAAACUGGGAGACUUGAGUGCAGGAGAGGAAAGCGGAAUUCCACGUGUAGCGGUGAAAUGCGUAGAGAUGUGGAGGAACACCAGUGGCGAAGGCGGCUUUCUGGACUGUAACUGACGCUGAGGCGCGGAAGCGUGGGGAGCAAACAGGAUUAGAU
rnacentral:rRNA from 1 species